AACUAUUGCUUACAAGUCAUUUAGACCAUUGCUCUCGCAGAAAGGUUGUGAAUACAAUACAGUGCAGUUUAAACACUUUGCAGGUACUUCUCUCCUCACUUUUUUCUCUCAUCUUACAAAAGUAGGCAAAUAAUACAAUGAAGCUCAAGAGUGUUGCUUGACUUUCCUUUUUCACUUUUUUUCUUUUUCUCUUUUCUCUUUCCUUACAU
rnacentral:lncRNA from 1 species